rnacentral:rRNA from 1 species
UACGUAGGGGGCAAGCGUUGUCCGGAAUCAUUGGGCGUAAAGAGCGUGUAGGCGGCCCGAUAAGUCCGCCGUGAAAGUCCAGGGCUCAACCCUGGAAUGCCGGUGGAUACUGUCGGGCUCGAGUCCGGAAGAGGAGUGUGGAAUUCCUGGUGUAGCGGUGAAAUGCGCAGAUAUCAGGAGGAACACCAAUGGCGAAGGCAGCACUCUGGGACGUGACUGACGCUGAGACGCGAAAGCGUGGGGAGCAAACAGG